CACUCCAUUACACUCGACCACACC
rnacentral:siRNA from 1 species